rnacentral:rRNA from 1 species
UACGGGGGGGGCAAGCGUUGUUCGGAAUUACUGGGCGUAAAGGGCUCGUAGGCGGCCAACUAAGUCAUACGUGAAAUCCCUCGGCUUAACCGGGGAACUGCGUCUGAUACUGGAUGGCUUGAGUUCGGGAGAGGGAUGCGGAAUUCCAGGUGUAGCGGUGAAAUGCGCAGAUAUCAGGAGGAACACCGGUGGCGAAGGCGGGUCUCUGGGCAAUAACUGACGCUGAGGAGCGAAAGCGUGGGGAGCGAACAGG